rnacentral:rRNA from 1 species
CCUACGGGGUGCAGCAGUGAGGAAUAUUGGUCAAUGGCCGGAAGGCUGAACCAGCCAUGCCGCGUGAAGGUCAGUGCCCUAUGGGCGUUAAACUUCUUUUGUGCGGGAGCAAUAAUGGUCACGUGUGGCCAGACGAGAGUACCGUACGAAUAAGCAUCGGCUAACUCCGUGCCAGCAGCCGCGGUAAUACGGGGGAUGCAAGCGUUAUCCGGAUUUAUUGGGUUUAAAGGGUGUGUAGGCUGUGAGGUAAGUCAGCGGUGAAAUGCCCCCGCUCAACGGGGUGAAGUGCCAUUGAUACUGCCUGGCUGGAAUGCGGAUGCCGUGGGAGGAAUGUGUGGUGUAGCGGUGAAAUGCAUAGAUAUCACACAGAACACCGAUUGCGAAGGCAUCUCACGAAUCCGCGAUUGACGCUGAUGCACGAAAGCGUGGGUAUCAAACAGGAUUAGAUACCCGGGUAGUC